GUGCUCGCUUUGGCAGCACAUACACUAAAAUUGGAACGAUACAGAGAAGAUGAACAUGGCCCCUGUGCAAGGAUGACAUGCAAAUUCGUGAAGUGUCCCAGAUUUUC